UCUCAAAAUGGGACGUACAUAAUUGGUGAUAAGAUUCGAGCUGUUAUUAUACUGCAUGAUGGUUAUGGCAAACGUAAACAUUCAGGGGGCGACAUUUUGAGGGCAACGAUACAACAAAAAAAACUUAGUGCAUCAGCACCUUGUGAGGUGACUGACAAUUUGGAUGGGUCGCAUACGCUGAUAUGUGAGGCAUUAUGGACCGGAACUUCAAUAAUAACCGCAAUUCUAGCUUAUAUUAGGGAGAAAAUUACAGCCAUUUAUCGCGUCGGAACACAAGUUCUAUCCUAUCGGGUUAUAGUUGGGCAGUUCAGGAGUAGACAUUACAGCCAAGAGACUCCCUGUCACCCGAACCACACACACCUGCUGAAGUUUACUAACUACAAACGUUUUUGUAAUUUGACAUACCUAAACUCGUGGAUGCCGUUUAACUGCGGCAAACCGACAGAUGAGCAUUUGCUGUGCCAAGACUUGAUGUCCAUAAAAGCAAGGAAUCUACAUAAUGAGCCUUACCUCACCAAUUGUGAGAAAAUGUUAUGGAUCAGGUAUUUGAAGUCUUGAGUUAACAAAUAUUAAGUGAAGUUUUAUAAACAAACAAUUUGUUGACGGACUAUUGUAAAAAAUGUAUUCCCUAUAUAGAAUGUAUUUAUUAACUGAAAGCAAUAGCUUUCGUUUUUCCUUUCUUUAAUUUCGAAAAUUUGUUUAAGUAGGAGCAAACAUUUAGUUAAAUAAUUUAGUUUUUAUUAAAAUCUUGAUUUUUAUAAAUACAGUCGAAACUCGGUAUCUCGAAUUUCAAGGGACCGUGCUUUUUAUUUCGAGAUAACCGAAAUUCGAGUUAUGAGGAGGGAUGUAUAUGGACGAAAUGAUGGAAAAAAUUGGUUAAGUUACAAAAAGAUUUAAUAAGAAAUAAAAAAUGUUUCCUUGACGCCGUGUAUACGCUCUGGGCACUUUACGCGUACACGAUUAUGUACAGUUUGUGUUUAUCAAAGUUUUCAGUUUUUCGAAGAUUAAAAUUAUACUAACCUCAAAUGUUUUUUGAGGCAAGUUUCCUUUUCGUACCACGUUUCUCUCCCGGAGGAUUGAUAGCAUUUCGAUCUGACAUUUUGAACGAAUGAUGCUUUCCCCAAAGAAGUUAAUUUUUUUACAGUCUCAUCGAGAUUACCUCUAAUUAAUCCUUAUUAAAGAUCCCAACUGUUCAAACUAAUGAAUUCAUUUAGUUUAAAUUAAAAGCAGUUUUCAUAACGUUUCAAAAACAAAUGAUCGCUGAUUAAGAAAUCUAGUGUUUACAUCAAGCAAUUAUCAUUAUGUCACGUGCAAACAAGUAUACAUCAUCUCACUUUGAUAAUGGCCGUACCUUUGAUAUGUCGGCAUCACGGCUUUCUGGUUAGGCAAUAAACAUGAACACGUGUUAAAAACCAACCAUAUUCACAAUGAGAUGUGUGAAAUUUUAUCGCAUAUUUUUCUCACUUCGACUUACCGCGUUUACAAUGCACUUGGAUUUUAUUGACGGGACCGAAAAUCCCUUUCGACAUAUCUGGAAUCUCGGUAAGUCAAAUUUUGACAUAACCGGAAUUGAAGUACACAUGUAAAGAAGGAAAUUUGACGGGACUUGAAAAUUUCUUCGACUUAAGCGGAAUUUCGAGGUAAGCGAGUUUGAGAUACCGAGUUUAGACUGUAUUAUAAAACAAAUGAUCGCCAAAUUGAAUAAUUGCUUAAUGUUCAUAAAACGAAGCAAAAGUGCUCACCUUUAUGAGGAAAAUUUAGAAACUAGGCUAAACAAGUAGCUUUCUGGAUAUUUCGUUUUUAAUAGUUAGCGGAUUUUCCCCAUUAAACAUAACUUUCUAAAAAUAGAGUGUUCUUCAACUGACAAGUAGCUCUAGUUGCAUGAUGAACAGGAGGAAAACUCAGCUACAUGUGUUACCAAAAUGCAAAAAAAAAUAAAUAAAAAAUAAUAACAAUCAACUAUAAUAUAUUUCAGCGAUAAGAAACUGUAUACACAAUGAUUCAAGAGUGUUUUAGUGUCUUUAUUUAAACUUAAACAAAU
rnacentral:lncRNA from 1 species